UACAGAGGUCCCAAGCGUUGUUCGGAUUUACUGGGCGUAAAGGGUCCGCAGGUGGCAAUGUAAGUCUGCUGUCAAAGAAUGAGGCUUAACCUCAUCAAGGCAGUGGAAACUACAUAGCUAGAGUACGGUCGGGGUAGAAGGAAUUCCUGGUGUAGCGGUGAAAUGCGUAGAGAUCAGGAAGAACACCGGUGGCGAAAGCGUUCUGCUAGACCUGUACUGACACUGAGGGACGAAAGCUAGGGGAGCGAAUGGG
rnacentral:rRNA from 1 species